AAACCUCGCAUCAUUUUUGUCGUUUUAUCUCAAAAAAAUUGGUCAGUGGUUAGCCACCGUUUUUCUUAAGAUCAGUGAAAAGCCAAACACAAUAAAAAUCGGGAAAAUUGAGCGAGUGAAAAUAAAGCAAACAUAAUUCAAUUGCAUAUGAAUUUCUUCAGAAAGAUCCGUUCUCAUCCUCAUUUUCCCAAAAUAGCCAAAAGAUCCUUUAGUUCAUUGAAAAUUUCUGAACAGUCCCUAAAUCCUCCUCUCACUCAUGGGAUCCAUGUCUUCCAUUGCCCUGAUGCAGUUGGUAUUGUAGCAAAGUUAUCAGAAUGUAUUGCUUUAAGAGGUGGAAACAUUCUUGGAGCUGAUAUUUUUGUACCUGAAAACAAGCAUGUCUUUUAUUCAAGAAGCGAGUUUGUUUUUGAUCCUUCUAAAUGGCCAAGGGAGCAAAUGGAUGAGGACUUCUUCAAAAUUUCAGAAAUGUUCAACGCGCUGAAAUCAGUUGUCCGUGUGCCUGAUUUAGAUCCAAAAUACAAAAUUGCUGUUUUUGCUUCAAAACAGGACCAUUGUCUUGUUGACUUGCUACAUGCGUGGCAGGAUGGGAGACUGCCUGUAGAUAUAACAAGAGUGAUAAGCAAUCAUCAUAGACACCCAGACUCUCACGUGAUGCGUUUUCUUGAGCGGCAGCGAAUUCCAUAUCAUUUCCUAAAAUUAACUGAAGGAAAAAACAUUGAGGAAGAGAUUUUGGAUCUAGUCAAGGACACGGAUUUCCUAGUACUGGCUAGGUAUAUGCAGAUAUUUUCUGGAGAUUUUUUGAAAAGGUAUCGAAAGGACAUCAUUAACAUUCACCAUGGCCUUUUGCCGUCAUUUAAGGGCGGGAAUCCUUCAAGACAGGCGUUUGAUUGUGGAGUAAAAUUAAUUGGUGCCACUAGUCAUUUUGUGACAGAAGAACUUGAUGCAGGACCCAUCAUUGAACAAAUGGGCAUCUCUUAUUCCAAACCUCGUCCACCCCUGCAAGUCUCAGAAAAAAGAAGCAAUACUCAUCUGUCCCUUUGAAUUUGCUCCAUUACAUAACUCGACGUUAGAGCCUUUUGGAUGUUGUGUAGCAAAUUUAAAGGGACGGAUGGAGUAUUUCAAGUAAAGCACAAGCGACCCUCGUUUGAACAUAUAUUAACCAGGCAUUGGAGUUGAGCGAGUGUCGCAUAGAGAUAACUUGCGAAGUUUCGUACAGAAAUCAGAGAACCUUGAGAAGCAAUGUCUGUCGAAGGCAAUAAAGUAUUACUGUGAGCUACGUGUUCUACCUUAUCUCGAUAACAAGACCGUCGUG